rnacentral:rRNA from 1 species
UACGAAGGGGGCUAGCGUUGCUCGGAAUCACUGGGCGUAAAGCGCACGUAGGCGGAUUGUUAAGUCCGGGGUGAAAUCCUGGAGCUCAACUCCAGAACUGCCUUUGAUACUGGCGAUCUUGAGUCCGGGAGAGGUGAGUGGAACUGCGAGUGUAGAGGUGAAAUUCGUAGAUAUUCGGAAGAACACCAGUGGCGAAGGCGACUUACUGGACAACUGUUGACGCUGAGGUGCGAAAGCUAGGGGAGCAAACAGG